rnacentral:rRNA from 1 species
GGCUGAGAGGUUGAACGGCCACAUUGGGACUGAGACACGGCCCAAACUCCUACGGGAGGCAGCAGUAGGGAAUUUUCGGCAAUGGAGGAAACUCUGACCGAGCAACGCCGCGUGAACGAUGAAGUAUUUCGGUACGUAAAGUUCUUUUAUUAGGGAAGAAUAAAUGAUGGAAAAAUCAUUCUGACGGUACCUAAUGAAUAAGCCCCGGCUAACUAUGUGCCAGCAGCCGCGGUAAUACAUAGGGGGCAAGCGUUAUCCGGAAUUAUUGGGCGUAAAGGGUGCGUAGGCGGUUAAAUAAGUUUAUGGUCUAAGUGCAAUGCUUAACAUUGUGAUGCUAUAAAAACUGUUUAGCUAGAGUAAGAUAGAGGCAAGUGGAAUUCCAUGUGUAGUGGUAAAAUGCGUAAAUAUAUGGAGGAACACCAGUAGCGAAGGCGGCUUGCUGGGUCUUUACUGACGCUGAGGCACGAAAGCGUGGGGAGCAAACAGGAUUAGAUACCCUGGUAGUCCACGCCGUAAACGAUGAGUACUAAAUGUUGGGUAAAACCAGUGUUGAAGUUAACACAUUAAGUACUCCGCCUGAGUAGUACGUACGCAAGUAUGAAACUUAAAGGAAUUGACGGGACUCCGCACAAGCGGUGGAUCAUGUUGUUUAAUUCGAAGGUACCCGAAAAACCUCACCAGGUCUUGACAUGCUUCUGCAAAGCUGUAGAAACACAGUGGAGGUUAUCAGUUGCACAGGUGGUGCAUGGUUGUCGUCAGCUCGUGUCGUGAGAUGUUGGGUUAAGUCCCGCAACGAGCGCAACCCUUAUUGUUAGUUGCCAGCACGUAAUGGUGGGGACUUUAGCAAGACUGCCAGUGAUAAAUUGGAGGAAGGUGGGGACGACGUCAAAUCAUCAUGCCCCUUAUGACCUGGGCUACAAACGUGAUACAAUGGCUGUUACAAAGGG